rnacentral:rRNA from 1 species
AUGAACGCUAGCGGCAGGCCUAAUACAUGCAAGUCGAACGAGAUUAAGAGGCUUGCUUCUUAUGAAAGUGGCGCACGGGUGCGUAACGCGUAUGCAACCUACCUUAAUCAGGGGGAUAGCCCGAAGAAAUUCGGAUUAAGACCGCAUAAAAACACAGGAUAGCAUUAUCCAAUGUUCAAAUAUUUAUAGGAUUAAGAUGGGCAUGCGUGUCAUUAGCUAGUUGGCGGGGUAACGGCCCACCAAGGCGACGAUGACUAGGGGAUCUGAGAGGAUGACCCCCCACACUGGUACUGAGACACGGACCAGACUCCUACGGGAGGCAGCAGUAAGGAAUAUUGGUCAAUGGAGGGAACUCUGAACCAGCCAUGCCGCGUGCAGGAAGACAGCCCUCUGGGUCGUAAACUGCUUUUAUUCGGGAAUAAACCUUUCUACGUGUAGGAAGCUGAAUGUACCGAAGGAAUAAGGAUCGGCUAACUCCGUG